GACCCUAGAAAAAUCCCCCACUUCUCCUCUUUCCCCAUCUCGUCUGCUCCAUGGCCGCCGCCUUCCUCCGCAGCCGCAUUCCUCCGACUUCCUCGCCACAGCCGCCGCCGUCAUUGACAGGGAACUCGUUCCAGCGCUGCUAGCCAUCAGCUCCUCCAAUCUCCACCCCCGCUCAUCGCCCAGCUCCUCCACCGCUGCCCGAGUCAACCUUCGUCCGCCAUCCCCGAUCUCCUUCCAUCCCGAACCACCAUCGUCGCUCUGCCUCCACCUCCCUCUGCCGCCGCAUCCCACUAACCUUGGACCACCCCAACAGGGCUGCCCUGUACGCGUUGCCUGCUCCCCGUGCUCCAUGAUCCAGAUCCGGGUCACUCUCCCGUCGCACGAACAGCAAGCCACCCGCUACUCCUCCAACAUGACACCAGCAGGCUCCUCCUCUCCCUUUCGUCCAAAUCACCUGAUCCGUUUUACUGUGGUCUUUGGGCGGCAGGAUCUUGAUUUACUUUUUUGCGUGGCUUAUUGCUUGAAAGAUUAGCCGUAUGGUUAUGUGCUUUCAGGAACUCUUCGAGAAUUAAGGAACUCUCUACUUUUAUCGGAACUCUCGGCCUUGUUGUCUCCUCUGCCUGUUCUCUGCUUUGAGGAACCUGAAGAUGCUGUUGGAGAAAAGGAAGGCGUAAAAAGGGUAAGGCGUCAUGGACUAGUGGUAAAACACGCUUUCUGGUACCAAUGAUGAAAGGGUGUGGAUGCAGCAAAGUUAUGUGGUCAAAAUUGAUGAACAAAGAAGUUGCAGCAUGCAAAUCAAAACCUACCUCAGGGAAACACCUAUUCAUCUCAUGUUAGUUUGGAGGAUGGUGCUAUGGACAACCACAACAAUGGCAACACUCUAUGCAACAUUGAUGGUGGGAACAUCGGUGGUAGUCCAGAUGACUUAGGAACUUAUGAACUGAUGAAUGUAGGUGAUGGAUGAAAAUUUAGAGUGGUGGUGCCAAUGAAUUUGUACAACUGUUAUGUUAUUGCCUUUGAGGAAGUAAACUUUUCACUUGUCAAGUGCAAAAUGUCAGAUCAUCGUUUGCUCUAUAUAUAUGUAUAUGUGUGUUGUAUGUAUACUGAUCUCGGAUGCAUGCACAUAGGUAUGAUAUGGAUAACAUGCAAAUUCUGUUUUCA